GCAUUGGAGGAAGAGGAUGUGCUGGAAGAAGAGGAAGAGAAAGGAAGAAGAGAAACAGUGGAGGAAGAGUACAAAGGAAGAAGAUGAAAUGGAGGAACUGUAACUAUCAACGGCGCCGGCGAUCAGCAUGAACAGCUCACGGCAGUCGACGUCGAUGGGCGAGAACAAGAGGUGAAAGGGCUCACAUUCAGGCGAAGGGUGCUUGCAACAGUGAGUCCUAAAGUAUGUUUAUUUAUCAUUAUUUUUUUAGUAGUUCGAACCAGACUGCCCGAAAUGGAGGCUGGAUCAGAAUGUUCCUUGCCUCGCCUGUUUUUCACCUGGCAAAACAUCAAACCUGUCAACAUGUCCACUAAAAUGGAUAGUAAACUGAGUAACUUCAAUCGGACAAGAAUGAAUCUAGUAUAACAUUUAUGGACAUCUCAUGCAUUUAGCUCUGGGAUACCAACAUCUGGCUUGUAAGUAUGUACUCAUAAUAAGAUCAUCCCAUUACAGAAGUAAAUUAGACUGCACAAAUUUGUGUCCAAACGUAGUUGAGCAAAAAGUGGUUGUAAAAUGCAAAUAUUCAUAUUUGCUAUUUAGAACUUCAUGGAUAUGUAGAUACAAGUUCAGGUCUAUCCAAGUGUUUGGAAAGCAAUGGGCACUGGAAGCAAGAUUGCUGUCCACCAUUUUAGGGAACCACCAAACAAUAAAAUAAAUAAAUAAAUAAAUAAACUGAGAAAGAAUAUAUUAUCAAAAUCAGCAAUUAUGUAAAUUCUAUUUAAUUCAAAAAAAGUAUUUCUAAUCCAAACUUCGUGCAUAAUGAUUAAGCAUACAUGCAUAUGCAUUCGUGAAGCGAGAAAAGAAACAGGCACGCAAAACCCACCAUAUCUUGGGGAUUGGUUAACAGUAAUGUGUGUUAAAUAUAAAAUUCAGUCAACAAGAAAUCUUGCAGAACUAUAAAAUAACUGGAUAAACUUAAGUUCCAUUAGUCUAUGCUAGUCGUAAGCACUUAACUUUGUGCACUGGCCAGGAGCAAAAUCGAUCAAUAAAAGGAACUGGAGUACCAAUAACAAAAAUCUUACACUUAACACUGUACGAAUUGCUGUGAACUCAGCCUUUGUAACUGGAACAGAGAACCGCUCAUUUGUCUUCUGGAUGUUAUUUACAACAGCUGUCCAAAUCCUCAAAAAAAUUAUGGUGUUAGGACUUUGCAAAAAGAAGUAAAAAAAAAAAACAUACAUUUCACUAACUGGCUUAUCUAAAAGCAGACAACAGAACCAAAUGCAAUCAUAAUAGAUAACAUCCAAAAUUUAGGAAAAGCAAUCCUACUUCCCAUCGAGAACUUCAGAAACUAUAGGCAAACUUACAAAAGAGAUCAGUCUAAAUGUACAUUCAGUGUGCCCCUUUUAAGUAAAAGACCAAGUUUCUAUUGAUCUCUUCAAUUAUAAUUGCUCCAGACAAUCACAAUUUACCACACAAAGUGUAACUCAGUAGGUCGAUCAAUUUACCACUAUUUUCUUUCAUAUUUUCAUUCUAAACUUACAGAAGUAGACUAAACUUAUAGAAUUAAGAGGCUUUUUCAAAACUGAAGGAUUUGAUAACUAAGACAACCUUAUUUUCCACGUAUGCAAACAAUCAUCCAGUGAACAUAACGUCAGAUAACUGCUCUUGUAAAAGGUCCAACAGAUACUACUCAACGGUGCAAAAUGUCAACUAGAAUUGUAUAGCAUGAAUGACACUCUCUUCUUGGUAUCAAGCUAUAGUCUCUUUGUAAAUAUGUUAACAGUACCCAACCAACCAAUUUCACACUCUCUUUUCUUGGGAUCAAGCUUUAGUCUUUUUUUAAACAUGUUCUUAGUAACCAACCAACCAAUUUCCUUGUCGGGCUGACAGUGAUAAAAAAAUUUCCUGGAGGUCCUUUUCCAGCAACAUAGAUUUAUUGAAAUUGGCAGAUUGCUUUAAUUACAGGGGAGAAAUUACAGUGCAUAAGUAAUAGAAAUGAAAUGCCGAAUAUCUGUCAACAUACAAAUUGUAAAGGUCAUUACAGGUCAAGUCCUUCUGUACACAUGCGCUCAUGAAGGAUAAGCUAUAAUUUUGAUGACAAUGCUAUCAGGUCUGUUCUUUCAGUAAGUUGUGAUCAACCAAUCCAAGGAAUUGGUUGAAAAAUGUAUAAAAUAUAUUAACACCUUGAAAUCAGUCACAAUAAGAUAAUAACUAGCUGGAACUAACCAAAACAAAUGAAUAUGGCAAGAAAUGGCUGGGACCAACCAAGUAUCAGACAGAAUAGGUUCAAACACGUUUUGGACUAGAUAGAAGUCACUAUCAGUUGCAACGUAGUCGAGUACAAUUGAUCGCUCAAAAAAUAUGAGGUAACAUCCAACUCAAACUUGAGAGUAUAAAACACCUACCUAAGUUAACUGCUUUCAUCCACUCUAUGAGACCCAACUCCUACAACCCACUUGCUACUGGGUUAAUAUUUUGGUAUACUUUAAGUCAAAAGGGAGUUAAAUUGGUUUUUUUUUUUGUUGGAGGGGAGUUGGGUGUGGCAAAGUGAGCAUUAGGAAAAUUUGCAUCUUUGUUUUUGAAAAUUCUAAUUCCUAAUUCUUAAAAUAAUCGUUUUUCUUAUCUUGAUCCACAAUACUAUAAUUUCGAAUUUUGGUUUUGGAGCCCCCACAAUGAAUUAUUUGAAAUGCUCAACCAUCAUUAAUUAUCUUGGCAAGUAAAUAAUUGAUAAUCGAUCUUUGAAGUAUAUAACUAACUAACUACAUCUAUGUUGUUCAUUGCCAGACUAAAUCUGGAAAAAGUUGCUUUGUAUCAAAGAGGAGGGUGGCACAGAACUUCAUUAAAUCUCAUGAACGUCCCCCAAGUAGUUGCUCUAAGUUAAAAUCUAAAUUAGAAUAAACAUCUGAAUCAAAAUCUUCACUAGCUCACCCUCUCCCAAUGUUUUGGUAGGGUCAAUUAGGAAUUCAUAUGUGACUUGAGCAACAUCCAUAAUCUUUUGUUAUUGUAAAACAACAUAUCUCACAAAAAAUUUUGUUCAAAAUUAAUUACGAGAUGGCAAAGGCUAGAGUAAGUCAUAAAUAUCAAAAAACCAUUUCAGUAUCACACAUUUUCAACUCUGAAAUGAAAUACAGUUGCAAAGGAGACAAGCAAUAUAUAGUUGGCUUACAAAAGUUUAGAAGAAUUCCAGUUUUAUCUUUCAUUGGGGAAAUUGAUAGUGAUUUCUUCACCUGGCCUUCAAGGCUGCAACUCAGUUAAAAAGUGGAUACAUUAGAAAAGAAAUAUGCAAAAAAAUGCAAUCAACAAUAUAUGAUCAAUCUGGAAAACCUUGAUUUCAUUGAGGGAUCAUGGAAAAAUUCACAAGAUUCAGCAGGUCCCAGGCCAAUCAAGCUUCCAACUUCAGUAGGUGACAGAGCAAAGGCCUAUUAGCAAGCAAUGAUCCCAUAAAUCAACAAACUAUAUCUAAAAGCAUGUGGUUCAGCAAAACAUAUCUUCUAAAACUCAAACCUUAUUUGGUUGAUAAUAGCUAGACAAAUAAAACAACAAAGAAAAAAAAGGCUCAAAUAAGAAAAUAAAUUCAGGAGUAAUGAGGAUGAAAUUCUUUACCUGCUUCUUUUGCCAAUCAUACUUUCUUACACCAACGGCAGGCCAAAAUGUCAAGAUAACACAGCCUUUUUUAUAUACUCUAGAAACCCCAGACUGGUACAAAACAAAGGUCAGUUGACAGUUCAAAUCAAGAUCUACACCGAAACACAAAAUAUAUAACUUCUGCAAACAAACAGCACAUACAUCCACUUCACGGAAAGUUGGAAGAACUGGUGACACUGACAAGGCAGCUUUUCCCUUAUAAAGAGCGUAUUCUGCCUUCCGUCUAACUGAGGAGCUUCCUGUAGGAGAAAAUGGUGGUAAAUCAAUGCAUUUGUCUGUUAAGUUGGAAAGGCAACCAGACUUCUGAUUGAAAUCCAUACCAUCAUUCACAAGAUCUGGUCCAGAAGUCGUAAUACUAUGUUGACUAGUCAACCAGAAAGAAUCCUUUACAUUAGUGGCUCUCUCCAGUAUAGAGCUGCCAAGUUUACAAAGAAGUUCGAAUAGAUAGAACGACCAAUUCACAGAAAAAUAAAUCCAUACAUGUAACUGAUUAUAUACUAGAGAAUGCAUACGCAUAGCCAGAAAAUAACAGAUAAACCGAGCUUUUAGAUCAUAAGCAAAUAAUAGCAGACUCGGUUCUUUUAGACAAAGGUACUACUAACACCAUUACUCACAUACAAAAGAUUACUAUGCUGACCCGCCAAACUUAGAACAAACCCGAACCUUCCCAGAAACUGGCCCAUUUAUCUUUGAACGCUUGACAUUAAGAUAACUCGUUCGCAUCGAUACCAACUACCAUAGUGUGCAAACCUAAAACUAUCAUUUUACAUUCUCUAACACACAGAAGGCCAACAACUGGGUCAUGCUUACCAAAAGGUGGGGAUAACUAGUCCAGAACCCUUUCUUGUACUUUAGAGACCAUUUGACGAACAGUUGGGUUACACAAUGUGACAGAUACCAUUUCUCGGCAGAUCUUUGUCAUAUUGCUGGAGGUUCCAUAUCAAAGAUGAACGAGAUCGAAGGGAGCUUCAUUUCGUUUGGUGGGAUUUAGCAGAGGAAAGAAGUCAGAACAAGACAAUAGGGAAGAGGGAAGCAUCGGAUUACCUGCAUGAGAGGAAGCGGGAGGUUCUUCUCAUCGUUGCAGGAAUUAGGGCACCGAGGGGUUGGAGCCGUCCCGAGGUUUAGGAACGCUGGAAAUGCCGGCGGUGCUUUUUAAGACAGGAUUAUUUUGCGGCACACGAAAGGGCGGUCAGGAAUCCUGACCGUCUGAUUCUUAUCAACGAUUUGAUUAUUACUCAAGAAAACCACGAAACAACACACGAUAGGUCUGGAGAACUAGGUGUCGAUCACGAAACAGCGAACACGACUUUCCUCCAACGCUGAUCUUUGAGCCGAUGUCGUGCGGUCCCCACAGAAGAGGUAAAGCAUGGCGUGGCAGGUCACAUGGGGUCGUCGCUGUCUCGCCACAGAGGGUAACUCCAGCCAAGGGAAAGCCCACGCGAUUUGAACUGCACCUCCUUCUAUGGCAUCACGAUGUAUUAACAGGAAUGAUCUGAUUCGGAUCAAAACCUUUGAUCAGACGAGCGGCUCGAUCGGAUCGGAUCGGAUCGAACCGACCUGGUUUAACCAACCUGACCCGACCCAAUUGAUAAGCCAUGCGGGUCGGAUCUUUAUUUUCAAGUCAACCUUCGCAGGUUCUUCCUACCUAUUUCCACACGAUCCGACCCGACUUAGUUGCAUAGAUCUCCCCUUUCAGUAGUCAACCACUAACAUUUGUCAACAACCUCUACAAAACACAGUUCUUUAUUUACUUUCUAAUCUGGAUGGCAAAAUUGCACUCUAGUUUUCUUUAUAGAUUGCAAAUUGGAGAUCUGUGAUUUUAGCAUUCCCAACAAAACUAAUAAAAUAAAUGUCCUCUUAAGGCAUUUAUUUUCACUUGACAAACCAAACGAACACAUCAAAAGAAGAUCCAACUCGACUCCCAAUUUUGACUCUGACAAAUUGAUAAUGUUGGCUAGUGAGAGAAAGCAAUUACCUCCCCUUGACCUUCUCGUCUUCCUUUCGGUUCUCACAAGCCCAUUUGACCGGAGGGGACAGCAACAAGAGCGUUGCAUGUGAACCUACAGUGCAACACGUGAACCACUCCACAGAUCUCCAUGUCGGCAGCCUCUCGCGCCCAACCUGUCGAUGCCCGGUGGCCAAUGCUGCAUGCUGAUUUCCAAGGAUCACAAAUGGAGAUGAUUUCUUUCUGAUGAUAUAAGCUUAAUGACAGCUUUAUGCAACAAGAGAUACAUGUCGAUAGAUAAGGCAAACAAGUUCUCUAUUUAUUAUGGUGCAUGUUCCUAACCGAUGAAAGUUUCAUGUGAUGUAACAUAUGGAAUGGAAGUCAUAACACAAGGAAAACAAACAAAUGCACGUACUUGAGGGAAGAAACUUGCUUGACAGAUUGGACAAAGCAACAAUGUAAGUAUCACAGUGGAGAAGAUAUGUACAAGUUCUAUUUGAUGGCAUGGAAAAGAAGACGGUAGUGACUUCCAUCAUCCUCUAUCCAACUUCCUUUCCCAUCUCCACCAAGAUCUGACAGGAGCUGGUUUUGGCUGCCGAUCACCUGGGUUUUCAGAUUUCCGGCAACGACCAGCUAAUUAUGAACUGCUGCUCCAUCGUUAGCUGUUGCCUUGGUCGAGCAGCUUCGGAAAGAACAAAGAGGGUCUACGUACGCACACAAAGCCGGCUGGCUGGCCGGCCUACCACAAAGAACACAACAUGCACUACCUUCUAGUGUCAGCAACCCUAAUCAGCAACCAGAGCCUGAUCUUUUGAGCUGUUUUCGGUUGCAUCAGCAUCACAAGAGGCUUUCUUGGGCAAAGGCCUGAUGACCUUGCCAACAGCCGGAAGCUUCACCCUGGGAGUCAGCCUUUUGGCCUCCUCACAAGUGUAGAUGUAUAUUUUUCUCACCAUGCUGCAGAACUCACUGCAAAUGCAUGAAACCGAAUCGAAAUUAAUAUGACACCAGCAUACAUAAACUAAUUUGUAACAGAUCGAUAAUUGAAGAAUUCUUUUUCGAGUAGCUUUUGCAUAGUUUAGUUCAAGGAAAUGGAUUUAGAGCCUUACUGCCAUGGGUCAUCACCAACCAUCAUUAUGUCAUCCUCAUCAUCUGUGUAGAUGACCUCCCACUUUUUUGCUGCACCGUAGAGCUCUCCCUCAAUAUUAAACAUCUCUUCCAGCUUCUGAAGAAGCUCAUCAUAUCCAUAAAAUCUAGUCAGAUCCACUGCCCUCCCAACUGCCAUUCCUUGCAUGUGAACCUGCAGAAAAAGAGACGAUUAAGCCACCUCUCAAGCAUCAUACAUUCUUUUAACAUAAGUUAUCUACUGCUAGCAUCUAUAUCUAGAGAACUAUUUUAAGGUUUUAUACUAGUGAAGUUGUACCGAUCAUAGGAGUAGCAAAUGAGAGAGAAAAAGCAAGUUCUUAUGACCUUGGUGCAACUCCUCAAUUGUCUACUUUGACACUCUUGGGUUGACCUUAAGCAUGACUUCUCCGGCUCACUGCUGACAGCGAGGGCAUCAGACCUGUUGAUGUUUGAUGGUUGAGAUUGUUGAUCUGAUUCCACAUCCAACGAUGUUACUGCUUGUUCCUCUCCAACACAAGAAUUGGUAGUCAGUGGAGAGAGUUCCCCUACUGCAGAGCUCUCAACUAGCUGAAUUCCAAACAGCCAGCAGCCUGUGCUAGUUUCCUGCUUCUUUUCACUUUGUUCUUUAUUUAUGUCUGCCAUCAAGGAAUCAGUUUGAGGUUCUGUCCUGAAUGGCCAGUACAUGGCGCCAUUAAUAGCUGAUGGUCCAUUAUUUCCAUUAAAUUCAAUUGACUCAGGCUUUGAUGCUGAUGGGAACACAGAUGUGGGGCAGGAUGGUGCACACAGUUCUUUUCCUCCCUGCAACCCAGAAAAUGAAAAAUUUUGGGUACUCUCAGCGGUGGAUUUCCAUAAACCUGCAACAAGACAGAAAUGUGAUAGCAUAAGGACUAGUGAUAAAAUUUUGAGGAGAAAGACUAAAAGAAGUACCAAAGUAAAUACGUAAAACAUAAUCAUUUCAUGAUUCUUCAAAUGAUGUGGGAUCAUCUCAAUUAAUGAUAUCGCUGGAAGACUAUAAUAUACAGUUUUUAAUUUAUGUAAAAAGAUCAAGCAUGCAUUAUCAACACCAUAACUGAAGGAAUUGCUGGUAUCUUGUAUUUUUAACCUUUGAAAAUAAAACCAGGAUAUGUUGAAUCCCAAAAGCAGAUAUAGUUUCUAGUUUCUACACUAAACCAAAGACUAGCUUUCAGUUUUCCACACAAUUUCUUCUGUCAGUAUCUCUAUUGAAUACUUUCCUGUAGACUCGAAGUGUGCUUGAGCUUGGGAUGGGAAUCUGUAAGAUGCACAGCCCAACUAUUGAAGUAAUCUUAAACAGCACUAACUCUCUACACUACAGCAGCUUUGCACAGACAUCAAAACUAGAAUUUGAUGUAAAAGCCCACCCAAAUGUCCAAUUCAGCAAGGUGACAACAUGGAGACACAGAAACUUGUAGGAGAAGAAUAUAUAAAAAGGUGAGAUAGUGCAACAUGUUCAAUAAGAAGCCUAAUAUCACAAAAAUCAUUAAAACCACCCAUUUAUAUUCUUUGAUACCAGUACAAUAUACCAAUAAAGAAUCUAGUAAUAUGUGUAACUUGCAACACUAGACUCGAAAGGGCACUGCAUUAUGGGGACAAUAGUGUUACAUAUCUAUAACAAAAUAGCCAAAUAAUAGAUAUUUGCAGUCCAUGGGAAGGUCUAACGUGGAAUUAGUGAUGAAUCUAUCUUGUUUAGAAAAAUCUUGAAAAGAAUGAGACAAUAAACAAACUGAGGAGUUCCAACUACCUUGUAAAAAAUGUUACUAAAGGAUAAAGAUGUGGAGAAAAUCAAUACCAAAUGCUGGAGUAAGAUCUGAUGAUUCAGCUGGUGCAGCUGAUGGUCGUGUACGUUUGUUUCUCUGCACUGGUUGAAAGGUUGGAGGAGCAGCUGCAAGAAGUGGUUCCAAUUCCCACGGAGAAACUGUGUCUGGACGCCGGAUACACGAAGGUUCAUCCCAUUGAACCUAAAAAUAAAAGUCAAACCACACCUCAUAGCACAUAGAAAAACAUCCAGUGACUCGUAAAGUGAAAAUCACUGAUACAAAACAAUGCUGAUUUAUAAUUUCCACUUGGCAUAAAUCUCAUCAGCUCAUAGCAGGAACUCCCUACCUUUAAAGUUCUCCAUUCUGACCCUGCCCAUUGAGAUGUUGUGUCCACACCAACAAUAGUGCCACUGAACCUGUAAAAAUGGAUAAUAGUACCUGGUUAACCACAAAAUAUACAGCAUAAUAUAUUUUAUUUUAUGCCCAUUACACACGACCAAGAGCACCUUUUUUCUGGAGCUUCAUCACCUUCAAAUCUCAUAUUAAAUCUCAUCCCAACAGAGAAUUUAUAAUUCUUGGCUUCAAGAUACUUGUUGACGCUUAUGAUGAAGUCCGAUCGACUUGUCCUAAAACAUGAACAAUACUUAUAAUUCUGUUUUUAGUUCUCAUUAAAAAUUUGUGAAUUUGGAUAGAUAUAUAAAGCAAACUCCUAGUAUCUUACAUAAGCAUGGAGCAUUAGAUAUCCAGCAAUAACCAGAUAAACUAAAACAUAGAAAUAAAAAACCAAUGUAAUAUUUAAGGUUUAUAUUCUCAUCAAAAUACCUAUUGAAACAUUGAAACAUUUCCAGCUCAGUGAAGUAAAUAUUUCCUUCUUAAUGAAAAACAAAUAAGUUGCAUAAAGAAGUUGGAGAACCAAGCAUCUUUCUAAACCUAGAGCUGUAAUCCAAAAAAUAAAAACAAACAAUACACUACAUACAUUAUGAACUCGUAGUAGAUAGAGAAACUGAGGAAACAUGAAAGAAACUAAUAAGUAGAUAAUAGUAAAAAUCUAAAGAAGAGACUAACCUUGGUUUGUAGAAAACAGAAAAAAGAGUCCCAGUAGCAAUAGCAUGAGAUGCAGUAGCCAGAACUCCAAGAUGCAUGCUAUGACUGGAUAUGACUGAC
rnacentral:lncRNA from 1 species